GGUCACAAAAUAUAAGUUGUACUUUUAGUUCACAUAUAAAAUAGUCUACUUAGGGACACAAAAAAUAUAGGACAAAAAUAUAUCGUUUUGAUCUUGAGAACAACCCAAAGUAAUUUAGGAUUUCACUUUCAAUCCUAUAUUCUUCAAUAAUCUUGGAACUUGGGUGGCAAGCACAAAAUCAAUGCCAUUCUCCAUCUCUUCCUCAUGUUGUGGCGAACCUACGUUAUGUGGGGAGGAGGCAGCUGCCCCCACAAAAAUCUAAAAAUAAAUAUAUUUCCAUUAGAAACUACAAGUUUUCUAUAGUAUAGUUGGUUCCAGUCAUCUGUUUGCCCCCUUAAGAUCACUGUUCUGACUUCCCUCCUGAGCUGUUUUUUCCCUUUUAUUUAUUUGUAUGCCCCCACAAUUUUUUUUCUCUAGAUUCGCCACCAAACCCAUCACCAUCUCCAACAAUGUCUUCAUUACCAUCAUCUUCUUCUUUUUUUUGUUCAACGACCAUCAUCUUCAAAUCUAACAUAUUACAAUCAUGUUAAUGUUUUUUAAAUAGUCUAUUUUUGAUCAUACACAUAAAAUAAUAACAAAUAAAAUACAAAUAAUAUUCAUGUGUUAUUUUAUACAUAUAUUAAUUUUAUAAUAAUCAAAUGCAAAUCUAAUAAUACAAAUAUAUAUAUAUAUAUUAUCAUUUAUAACAAAAACUAAAUUACUGUAUGUAAAAUAUUAUUUUUUGCCUUUAAAAUUAAUAUAAACAUUUAAAUAUAUGGAAAGUAUUAAAAAUAUUAACCAUUAAACAUUUUAAAUAAUAUCAAUAUAUAAAGUAAAAACAAACAUCUGCGUAGGUGCGAAGGCCAAGCUCUAGUAGAUAGUUAAAAGGAAACAAAUCUUUCAUAUACUAGUACAUUUUUGAAAAUUAAAUAAAUAAUAAUUAAUAAAGUAAUUCUUUGGUCAAAUAGAAUAAAUCUUUGAAAAUAAAAAAAUAAUAAUCUGUUAUUAUUAAGUAGAUAUAUGGUCAACAAAAAAUGAAAUUCGUGAUAAAAUAGUCAAAUAUAAAUAUGUUAAAAGUUAAAAAAAGUUGUUGAAAAUAAUUUUUAUUUCAUAUCACAUAAAUAAUAGUUUAAUUGGUCAGAGCACCGCCCUGUCAAUAUUCCAUAUUUACUUAUUAUUAUCAUAAUUACAGUCAAUUUUCCAAAAAUAUAAUGAUAAUUCUUAUUAUUAAAUUUAUUAUAAUGGUCAACUCAUCAUCCUAUAAAUCUCUCUUUUAGUGUCUCCCAAAAUUUAGAGUCUUACAAUAUACAAUAAACAAGUAACUAAAUCUAGAAAAAAAUAUGGCCAAAGCAAAAAAUUCAGUUGUUUUCUCCAUCAUCUUCCUUAUAAUGUUUGCUUUAGCCGAAGAUUGUAUGGGAUGUCAGGCGAUGCUUGGUGAUUGCCGUAUAUGCGGAAUAAAAUGCAGUUCUUACGGAAGACAUGCAGAGGCUCACUGUGAUUACCGCUAUGACGGUGGUGCUUGUGUUUGCGACUUUCCUUGUAAUCCUCCACCAAAGCUUUAAAAUAAAAAAAUAUUGGUAAUUAAUAUGAAGAAAUAAUAUGGUGAAUCGCAUAAUCAUAGUUGCUGCAAUAUUUCAUAUAUUAAAUAAAAAUUCCGUGAACCUUUGAUAUCAAUCAAAUUUAUAGAACACAAAA